CAAGUGGCGACCAAUAUUGCUGUGCAUGGACUCUGUAUAACAGAAAGAGUCCUGAUACAUGUGUAAAAACGUUGGCUGCUGUAUCUGGUAGUCCAAGCCUUGUUCCUCGCCCCCAAAUAGUGGUACAAUUCUAUUGAGUAUUAGCAUCACUAGUACCUACGUAUUGAAACGCUGGUCUAGAAGUUACUGAUUGGGCAGUCCUGGAAACCUCAAUUCUCGCCUGCCUGUGCAAACGUUCCCAAGCUUGAAGCCCACCAUUUGAAAUUCGGAUAAGGCGGUAGCUGCAGGCAUGGAAUUACUCUCCUAGUAAGCCAGAUGAGUGUGCUCUGCUUUUUUUGCCUGGAUAAGUUGGACCUAUGGGGAUGAUCUGAGUGACUGGCCUCGGCAGCAGCUGAUGUUACCUGCGCCCGGGACAAUCUCGUGCCACCUGCAGACAUCGAGUAGGAACUCGGACUCCAGCCGGGAGGCAUCAACCCAGCUUCGGAUUCAGUUCUAUGUGCUAUCUUUUUUCGAAAUUAGACCCGAUAUGUGAAAACA